rnacentral:tRNA from 1 species
AAGAGCAGCAGGGGUAGGAGCCUGCUCCAGCAGACCUUGACAUGGUGGGGGUCGUUGGUUCGAGUCCAAUCGCGCUUACCA